rnacentral:rRNA from 1 species
GACGAACGCUGGCGGCGUGCUUAACACAUGCAAGUCGAACGGGAAGGCCCUGCUUUUGUGGGGUGCUCGAGUGGCGAACGGGUGAGUAACACGUGAGUAACCUGCCCUUGACUUUGGGAUAACUUCAGGAAACUGGGGCUAAUACCGGAUAGGAGCUCCUGCUGCAUGGUGGGGGUUGGAAAGUUUCGGCGGUUGGGGAUGGACUCGCGGCUUAUCAGCUUGUUGGUGGGGUAGUGGCUUACCAAGGCUUUGACGGGUAGCCGGCCUGAGAGGGUGACCGGCCACAUUGGGACUGAGAUACGGCCCAGACUCCUACGGGAGGCAGCAGUGGGAAUAUUGCACAAUGGGCGGAAGCCUGAUGCAGCAACGCCGCGUGCGGGAUGACGGCCUUCGGGUUGUAAACCGCUUUCGCCUGUGACGAAGCGUGAGUGACGGUAAUGGGUAAAGAAGCACCGGCUAACUACGUG